rfam:Erinaceus europaeus unplaced genomic scaffold scaffold00227, whole genome shotgun sequence
GGUUCCGUAGUGUAGUGGUUAUCACGUCUGCUUUACACGCAAAAGGUCCUGGGUUUGAGCCCCAGUGGAACCA